ACAACUGAUCCAACAGAAAGACUUUGCAUCAAUAAAUAAGUACUGUCAAUUCCAAAAGCAUAGAAACAAAUGAUACAAUUGACAAUGAACUUUGAAGGAAAGCUAUGUCAUAUGCCUGCAAUACACGAAUAAAAACUUACUUAAGCUGAGAGUACAAAUAGAAAAUAAUUAGGAAUAAGCUUCAAAUCCCCUCUCAGAACAGCCUACGAUAAAAUACUGAAUACUAUUAUUGUUUUAAAGAUUUAGAUACCAAGCAGUCAUCAGGCAAACUAAAGACUUGUAUCUCAAAUCCAGUCAAUUCCUAGAAAGGAUUAAAGCGUAUGGUCUGAAGUAUUUAUCCUUACCCCAACUAAAUGCAAAAGAGAAAGAGAACGAUCAAAGGCAAUGCUUGACUUAUCCUUCUGGUUUUGAAAAAAAUUCCUAGGAAAACAUACCAAGUAUCUUGUUGAAGCCACAAAGCAGAAUGUAUUAUACAUUCCUUCCUUAGAAACCCGGUACCCCGACUAACGGAAUCCAUGAGACCAGGCAAGGAAUGAGAAAUUAGACAAACCAAACAAAAAAAGCAAGGUUCUGAGACGGCCUACAAGAAGCACUAAUCAGACCAAAUAUCCUAAAGAGGUGCCAAUAAUUUGAAAGAAAUAUCUUCAAUUACACAUCAAGCUUCCCACAAAAUCAAUUCAAAACCAUUGCACGGCUCUCAUCUACAUCUAUAACACUCGGAUCAAAUCCAUCUCCCAAUUCCCAAAAUAAGAAAUCGAAAUUGCAAUUCCUAUCCAAUCUCUAACGAAGACCUCGGGGAAGCUAAAAUCUGACUACCAUCGCAGUCACAUCACAAAGUAGACACGUAUUAUAAGAAAAUAAAAGGAAAAAAAAACAAAAAC
rnacentral:lncRNA from 1 species